rnacentral:rRNA from 1 species
UACGAAGGGGGCUAGCGUUGCUCGGAUUCACUGGGCGUAAAGGGUGCGCAGGCGGCCGUGUGUGUGAGGCGUGAAAGCCCGGGGCUCAACCCCGGAAUUGCACCUCAAACUACAUGGCUAGAGCAUUGGAGAGGGAAGCGGAAUUCACGGUGUAGCAGUGAAAUGCGUAGAUAUCGUGAGGAACACCAGAGGCGAAGGCGGCUUCCUGGACAAUUGCUGACGCUCAGGCACGAAAGCGUGGGGAGCAAAAGGG